rnacentral:misc_RNA from 1 species
AAGAGUUGAAAAACUCCCAAAACCACUGUGGACCUUACCAUUAUCGUUGCUUCGGCGGUGAACGGGUUUCGACCAGCGAGCCGCCGAAGGUCACCUAAACUUUGUAUUUAUGUAGUGCAUCUCUGAGCAUAAAAGAAAACAAGUCA